AGAAUCAACGCUGGCGGCGUGCCUAACACAUGCAAGUCGAACGAGAAAGUGGAGCAAUCCAUGAGUAAAGUGGCGCACGGGUGAGUAACACGUGACUAACCUACCCUUGAGUGGGGGAUAACCUAGGGAAACCUGGGCUAAUACCGCAUAAUACCGAGAGGUCAAAGGAGCAAUUCGCUUAAGGAGGGGGUCGCGGCCGAUUAGUUAGUUGGCGGGGUAAUGGCCCACCAAGACUAUGAUCGGUAUCCGGCCUGAGAGGGCGCACGGACACACUGGAACUGAAACACGGUCCAGACUCCUACGGGAGGCAGCAGUGGGGAAUUUUGCGCAAUAGGGGAAACCCUGACGCAGCAACGCCGCGUGGAGGAUGAAGUCCCUUGGGACGUAACUCCUUUCGAUCGGGACGAUUAUGACGGUACCGAGAGAAGAAGCCCCGGCUAACUUCGUCGCCAGCAGCCGC
rnacentral:rRNA from 1 species